rnacentral:pre_miRNA from 1 species
ACCACUGAGCCACCUUCCCAGCCCACAAAUAUAUUUUUUUUUAAAGGGCUGGGAAGGUGGCUCAGUGGU